GUAGAUCAGUUCGUAGAACGUGAGGCUCUUGAUCUCAGGGUCAUGGGUUUGAGCCCCACAUUAGGCA